AUGGGAGCUGUUGUCUCCUACACUGAGGCAGCCUUGGUAUGCCAACCAAUGAGCAAUGUCUAUCACAACUGUGGUGGUCCUCAAAGGUUGAUGCGUCACUGCCAGGGGGCCAAACACAUGGGUGCUAUCAGGGCUGGCCGGCUGGCCCCAACCUUAGGGAAUCUUGAUAAUUCCAGGCCGAAGGACAAAUGGCGGCCAAGGGGCAUGUGCGUACACCACCUAACUACCCACUGGGCUGGUUCCUUGGCCUCUUUAUUGCAACUCUUCAAGGCACCAAAGAUGCCCUUUGAGAGUCCUUCUACUGGCAGUGGGACAACAAGGCCACAAAGGUCACCUUUCACCGAGCCUCCUAAGGACAAGCAAUGCCCUGUCCUCUGUACCCAGCUGAUGGCAGCUCCAAAAGGACCCCACUGUAUUACUGAAAACAGAACAACAGUGCCUGCAAGCCUCAGCGGACAUAUUGUCCCAGUAAAUCACACUGCACUUUUCCUCACCUGCACAAACAUUCUUCUCUGGGCCUCUGGCCAACCUGCAGAGGAAUGCAGGCCUAGGACCACAGCAUAGUCCAUGGCGACCUCCAAGACUCAAGCAUGUGACAGGAGUUGCAAUUCAGCCACUGCCAAGGGCAGAAAUGGGCCUAUUAACUUUCACAACUGCCACCAUUCCCCCAGGUCUCUGCAGCCACUGCAGCCCACAUGGCACUCAGGAAUCUCAGCAACCCAAAGGGAUGCAACGGCGAGGGCCUCAGACCUGACCUGGGGCUCCAAUCACAAACCACAGAAGCUUCAUUGCUUUAGAAUCGACAUCACCAGAGCCCCAAUUAGUGCAUCUGCAGCAGGAAUCAGGACAAAAUGCACCUUUCCAAGCUAAGACGUCAACUGUCUGAGGCUAGGAUCUACUGCGACACCUACCACCACUGGACAAGCCAGAUGGCUCUAUGCUCCUCAGUGCCUUUACAUGGACCUUGUAUUCCAAGAGGGCCGCUAGAAUAUCUGUACAUGGCCCACCCUCAGACGGGAGCCUCGCAAAUGGUGGUGACCUGGCUCCUCCACGCGUGUGUGUGACACAGUCGGAGACGCCCUCACUGCUAACCAGUCCCACCCUUAACCCCAAGGGAGGCAACGUGCUGGACCUCAGUUUCGAUGAGGAGACGGUAGUGAGUUCUCACUCAUUUUGUUCAGAUUUUCCAAGGAAUGCAUGUGAGGGUGUCAUCAUCGAUCCGAGCACGUGCUGGCUUGCUGCCCACCUCCUCACGGCAGGAAGGGCUGCUCCCAGGAGGAGCCAGUGACCCGGGAGUCCUCCAGCAGCCAGGGGAACUCAGAGCCCUCAGGCUUCUCAGCAAGAGGAGCGGUCCCUCUAUACGUACAACCACUCAGGCAGUCCCAGGAAACCUGAAAUUCACGACACGUCUUGGGGCAGGAGAAGCCGUACCGUGCUGGGUGAUCCAAAAAGCAGUGGCAGCAACUCGGGUGCGCCACACUUCUUGCCGGACUCCCUUGCACCUUGAGUCACUGCCUCACGGGUGGGGGUUCAUCUCCUGGCUGAUGGACAGUCAUACGUGGCAACUUCACCUGACAAGUGGACAGAAAGCACAGGAAUGCUUCAGAUGUGUACUUGGUCUCUCACUAAUACUGAUGCAAGUGUUUCCCUAGGGGAAGGCCUGUAUCUGCACCCCAACUAUAUUGAUCCUUUACAGACGACUGGUUACCUAUCUUUCAAAAGAGUGCGGCAAAUUAGGCUCAAGUGCAUGUGGGUGUCUUUCUGACCAAGCGUGCAAGGGUAGCAGGGGAUUCGAUGUGAGUUUGAGUGCCUGCAUUCUGGUGUACCAAUAAAAACGCAUUCUCAGCAUUUUGGGUGUGUGUC
rnacentral:lncRNA from 1 species